rnacentral:pre_miRNA from 1 species
UUUUGCCGGGGAGCAGUGAUGCUGUCUGUGCAUUGUCAAAGUGCUUACAGUGCAGGUAGUAAUAUGUGAUGCCUACUGCAGUGGAGGCACUUACAGCAAUACACAGACACUUGU